GCCUGAUGGAGGGGGAUAACUACUGGAAACGGUAGCUAAUACCGCAUAACGUCGCAAGACCAAAGUGGGGGACCUUCGGGCCUCAUGCCAUCAGAUGUGCCCAGAUGGGAUUAGCUAGUAGGUGGGGUAACGGCUCACCUAGGCGACGAUCCCUAGCUGGUCUGAGAGGAUGACCAGCCACACUGGAACUGAGACACGGUCCAGACUCCUACGGGAGGCAGCAGUGGGGAAUAUUGCACAAUGGGCGCAAGCCUGAUGCAGCCAUGCCGCGUGUGUGAAGAAGGCCUUCGGGUUGUAAAGCACUUUCAGCGGGGAGGAAGGCGUUAAGGUUAAUAACCUUGGCGAUUGACGUUACCCGCAGAAGAAGCACCGGCUAACUCCGUGCCAGCAGCCGCGGUAAUACGGAGGGUGCAAGCGUUAAUCGGAAUUACUGGGCGUAAAGCGCACGCAGGCGGUCUGUCAAGUCGGAUGUGAAAUCCCCGGGCUCAACCUGGGAACUGCAUUCGAAACUGGCAGGCUAGAGUCUUGUAGAGGGGGGUAGAAUUCCAGGUGUAGCGGUGAAAUGCGUAGAGAUCUGGAGGAAUACCGGUGGCGAAGGCGGCCCCCUGGACAAAGACUGACGCUCAGGUGCGAAAGCGUGGGGAGCAAACAGGAUUAGAUACCCUGGUAGUCCACGCCGUAAACGAUGUCGAUUUGGAGGUUGUGCCCUUGAGGCGUGGCUUCCGGAGCUAACGCGUUAAAUCGACCGCCUGGGGAGUACGGCCGCAAGGUUAAAACUCAAAUGAAUUGACGGGGGCCCGCACAAGCGGUGGAGCAUGUGGUUUAAUUCGAUGCAACGCGAAGAACCUUACCUGGUCUUGACAUCCACAGAACUUAGCAGAGAUGCUUUGGUGCCUUCGGGAACUGUGAGACAGGUGCUGCAUGGCUGUCGUCAGCUCGUGUUGUGAAAUGUUGGGUUAAGUCCCGCAACGAGCGCAACCCUUAUCCUUUGUUGCCAGCGGU
rnacentral:rRNA from 1 species